rnacentral:rRNA from 1 species
GACGAACGCUGGCGGCGUGCUUAACACAUGCAAAUCGAACGGAAAGGCCUUUUCGGAGGUACUCGAGUGGCGAACGGGUGAGUAACACGUGGGUGAUCUGCCCUGCACUCUGGGAUAAGCCUGGGAAACUGGGUCUAAUACCGGAUAGGACCGCACUUUAGUGUGUGUGGUGGAAAGUUUUUUCGGUGUAGGAUGAGCCCGCGGCCUAUCAGCUUGUUGGUGGGGUAAUGGCCUACCAAGGCGGCGACGGGUAGCCGGACUGAGAGGUUGGUCGGCCACAUUGGGACUGAGAUACGGCCCAGACUCCUACGGGAGGCAGCAGUGGGGAAUAUUGCACAAUGGGCGCAAGCCUGAUGCAGCGACGCCGCGUGGGGGAUGACGGCCUUCGGGUUGUAAACUCCUUUCGCCAGGGACGAAGCGUUUUGUGACGGUACCUGGAGAAGAAGCACCGGCUAACUACGUG